GUUCCCCAUCUGAGGCGUUUGUUGCAGCUACCUGCACUUCUAGAUGCUCCCCAGGUUCAUCCUGUGUCCUCUCCCCCACCUACCAGUCAUCUUCUUGUGAGCCCUGGGCUUAGGAGUCACCAUGGCAACUGAAGAGUUCAUCAUCCGCAUCCCCCCAUACCACUAUAUCCAUGUGCUGGACCAGAACAGCAACGUGUCCCGUGUGGAGGUCGGGCCAAAGACCUACAUCCGGCAGGACAAUGAGAGGUGGGUGUGGGGGCUGGGCUGUGGGAGAUCCUUGGGGAUGUGGGGGCCUGUUUGGCUGGCAUGAUGGUCCUUAUCCUCCUCCCUGUUCCCAAGCAGGAGUGGCCCUCGCUUGGGCGAUAGAGAGGUUUCUCUCUCAUUUGGUGUCCUCUUUGGUAGUGGAGACCUGGUCCCAGGUCCUCACACCUCUUCUCAUCUUCCUGCAGGGUACUGUUUGCCCCCAUGCGCAUGGUGACCGUCCCCCCACGUCACUACUGCACAGUGGCCAACCCUGUGUCUCGGGAUGCCCAGGGCUUGGUGCUG
rnacentral:sRNA from 1 species